GCUGUUGGCACAGAGCCGGACGUGGGGGUCGAACCCGCAAACUGCGAGAUCAUGACCUGUAGUUGGAGGUUUAACCUACUGAGCCACCCAGGUGCCUCAGUAGGUCAAAAUAUUUAAAAGCAAACAGUAUGCAUAGCCUCUCGCAAAAGACUGCCCCACCCACAAAUUAACAAAGUCCGCUUUCUCUCUGAUUUCAGAAAUAGGGUAGGUUUUAGGAGGGUACCCCUGGGCCCUAGGUGGAGACUUUCUUUCAACCCAAGCCUCUCCUAGUCUCACGCCUUGGGGACAGACAGACUCUAAACCCGAGCAGGGUUGCUCUGGAAUGUAAUAUCUGGUAGAUACUUAUACUAAAAAAUUUUAUGUUGCUUCUCUGACCUUCAAAUUUAACUUGGAUGCCCUGUAUUUUUGUUUGCUAAAUCUGACAUCCCUGAUCCUGAGGUUUCCUUUCAGUGGUGAUGUUGGGGUCUGCGUCCCAGGCGUGCCCACAGGAAGCAGUACACAGAUGUCGCACAACUGGUAGAUCACAUAAAGGUGUUUACCUGCCUCCCUCCAAAGAGGCUCUCAUGGCCAAGGGGCAGCCUCUUCCCUGGGCCCCAGGGAUACUUUCUAAGAAACCCACUGCAUUGACUUUUCUGUACCAAUCAGCAUGUGCUUAGAAACCUAAGCUCUUCACCCAGGCCUUGUGGGCUGCUCCCAGGCUUCCUGCACGUCAUGGUUCCUCUUCCUCCUUUUUCUAGCAGCUGUGAGGUUCUUCUUGGGCUGGUGGAUCCAGGCAGGCCCAGGCUUCUAACACAGAGCUCCUCAAUUUUGAGGGGGCCUAGGAAUCACCUGGAAGUCUUGUUAGAAUGCAGACACUGAAUGAGCAGCUCUGGGGCCUACUGAGAGUCUGCCCUCUUGACAAACUCAUCGCACCGCUGCUGUAGGUCCACGGAUCACACUUUGAGCGGCAAGCGUCUGAAGCUUUUCCCGAUUGGCUGCAGGAUGGCCCAGGCGCCUGGUCUUUUCAAUUCCAGGGCUUUGGCGAAACCUCCAGGCCCAGGAGGUCGGAAUCCAAGGCAAUGUGAUUCACGUCUGUGAGAAAGGCAACCGCAGGGAGAGGGCAAGGAGGCACAUGGCAGCAUUGUACCUACUGCACUUCCCCAACCCCUCAUGACUUGCUUUGGCCCGUGAAAUGAGAGCAGAAGUGACUUGUAUUACUUCCGGAUGAACACUUGGAGAAUUAGUGCUUGAUUUGCCCCGUCCUCGCUUCCUGCCUUCAGGGUCGAGGAGGCAGCAUGUCCAGUUCCAGCUGCCUGCGUCCCUGGGUGGCUGUGGGAAACAGAGCUCCUCUUGACCCACAAUGGACACAUUUCAUGAUCGAGGAAUAAACUUUUAUGUCAAACCAC